rnacentral:precursor_RNA from 1 species
GGCUGGGCGCGAUCGAGGAGAUGUGGAGGGGUGCCAAGCGCCCGCCGCCCUCCCCCGCAUCUCUUCUCUCUCGCACACGC